CCUACGUGAGGCAGCAGUGAGGAAUAUUGGUCAAUGGGCGCGAGCCUGAACCAGCCAAGUCGCGUGAGGGAAGACGGUCCUAUGGAUUGUAAACCUCUUUUGUCGGGGAGCAAAAGACGCCACGCGUGGCGUUCCGAGAGUACCCGAAGAAAAAGCAUCGGCUAACUCCGUGCCAGCAGCCGCGCUAAUACGGAGGAUGCGAGCGUUAUCCGGAUUUAUUGGGUUUAAAGGGUGCGCAGGCGGAAGAUCAAGUCAGCGGUAAAAUUGAGGGGCUCAACCUCUUCGAGCCGUUGAAACUGGUUGUCGUGAGUGAGCGAGAGGUAUGCGGAAUGCGUGGUGUAGCGGUGAAAUGAAUAGAUAUGACGCAGAACUCCGAUUGCGAAGGCAGCAUACCGGCGCUCAACUGACGCUCAUGCACGAAAGUGUGGGUAUCGAACAGGAUUAGAUACCCCGGUAGUC
rnacentral:rRNA from 1 species